rnacentral:lncRNA from 1 species
UGAACAUGGGUGGUUGUGGUGUUGCGCAUUUUAGCAGAAGCCGAGGAUUGACGGUGGUUUUUUCCUUAUGGAGUCUGCUUUCAUUAACCUGCGCCGCUAGAUUAGGUGUGGAAAAGCAGAAGUUUGAGGUGCAAAAACACUUGAACCGCUUGAACAAGCCUGCUGUUAAGAGCAUUGAGGUAUUCUCUUUCUCUCUCUAAAGCGUGUUUGGUUUCUGAGAAACUGGGAGAAAAAUGAAAGAAAGUGUGUUUUGACAUUGGAGUUCUUUGUUUCAUUGUUGGAUUUUGGUUGCCAAAAGGUUUUAAGCUUGACAGUGGUUCCACUGGAAGUUUUUAUGUGGCAGAUUUGUUUUGGGUUUUGAAAUCAUUGUUCAAAUAAUAAAUAUUUCAAAUGGGAUUCCAUAUUCUUUUGAUUUCCUGCAUUUUCCCAUCAAUCAAAUGGGUCAUGAAUGCAAAUGGGUAUUCCUUAAACUUUUUUGUUCUAUAAUGUCCAUUAAUUUUUUCUCUUUAGUUAAAAAAUUAGAUUUCUAAAGAAUCAAUGAUGUUCUGAUUAUUACCUUCCUCUUCUCUCUCCCCGCAAUUAUUUCUUUUUGGGUAGUUAUUGAAGAGAUAAAGAAGACAACUGAAAUAUUUGUUUUCAAUACAACCAAACAGAACUUAAAUGCUAAUGGGUAGUCAGCUUCCGUUAUUUAUUUCAUCCUUUUUUUUUUUUCUAAAUCUGAUAUUUUUUGUCUGUACAUGUUUGAAGACCUCAAGAUCACUCAUUAAGUUCAUGAUUUAUUUGAGUGAAAAAUUUCUGAGUUAUAAUUCUGGAUAUCUUAUUCUUUUUCAUGGCUAUGCAGAGCCCAGAUGGGGAUAUCAUAGACUGUGUUCACAUGGCUCAUCAACCAGCUUUUGAUCAUCCUUUCCUUAAAGACCACAAGAUUCAGGUCCAUCUCCUUCUCCUGUAUAUUUCUACUUUAGCCAUUUUAGUGAUUUUCUUUGCUGUUACUGAUUUCAUGUAUUUUCGGUUUUUUUUUUAGAUGAGGCCUAGUUACCAUCCAGAAGGGCUUUUUGAUGAUAACAAAGUGGAAUCAAAAGAAAGAAUAAACCCAAUCACUCAGUUGUGGCACAU